rnacentral:rRNA from 1 species
AUGAGCAAACCCCUUGCAAUGUCAAGAUUAUGCAUGUCUUUCACAUUGUCGCUUCCCAUUGCCCAUUGGUAUCUGCCUCGGAUGGCUUCACCAUUGCAAAAGCUAUUGAAGUCGUGCACAACAUACUUCACUGAACUCUUCGUAGCUUUGUGGAAUUUUGCUAAAAAAGGUUGUUACUAUUUCAGCAUCGAGAGUGAUGUUAUUUUCUUCCUAUGUUGUAGACGCCAGAAACGUUUGGCGGAAGGAAACACUAUCAUGGUCUAUUAUAGAGCUACAAAUGAAUCUUUACCAAUGUUUUUCCAUAGGCAAUUGUUUGCUCUGCUUGAAACUGUGAGGUCGGUAUUUUGA